CUACGGGGGGCUGCAGUGGGGAAUAUUGGGCAAUGGGCGCAAGCCUGACCCAGCAACGCCGCGUGAGGGAAGAAUGUCUUCGGAUUGUAAACCUCUGUCCUUGGGGACGAAAAAAAUGACGGUACCCAAGGAGGAAGUUCCGGCUAACUACGUGCCAGCAGCCGCGGUAAUACGUAGGGAGCAAGCGUUGUCCGGAAUUAUUGGGCGUAAAGGGUGCGUAGGCGGCGCUGUAAGUCAGAUGUGAAAUCCCCGGGCUUAACUCGGGAGUUGCAUUUGAAACUACAGUGCUUGAGUAAAGAAGGGGUAAGUGGAAUUCCUAGUGUAGCGGUGGAAUGCGUAGAUAUUAGGAGGAACACCAGUGGCGAAGGCGACUUACUGGUCUUUUACUGACGCUGAGGCACGAAAGCGUGGGGAGCAAACAGGAUUAGAUACCCGCGUAGUC
rnacentral:rRNA from 1 species